UACGAAGGGGGCUAGCGUUGUUCGGAAUCACUGGGCGUAAAGGGCGCGUAGGCGGCUUUAUAAGUCGGGGGUGAAAGCCUGUGGCUCAACCACAGAAUUGCCUUCGAUACUGUAGAGCUUGAGACCGGAAGAGGUAAGUGGAACUGCGAGUGUAGAGGUGAAAUUCGUAGAUAUUCGCAAGAACACCAGUGGCGAAGGCGGCUCACUGGCCCGAUACUGACGCUGAGGUGCGAAAGCGUGGGGAGCAAACAGG
rnacentral:rRNA from 1 species